UGCCCAGCAACUCCUAUCGCUACCUUCUCGUGGUACUGGCCGGGGUACGAGUAACCUUAGGGAAGAUCUGGUAACCAACCCCGGUGGG
rnacentral:ribozyme from 1 species